rnacentral:tRNA from 1 species
GGGCCCGUUGCCUAGCCCGGAUAGGGCGCUACCCUUCUAAGGUAGAUCUCGAGCGUUCGAAUCGCUCCGGGCCCGCCA